GAUGAACGCUGGCGGCGUGCCUAAUACAUGCAAGUAGAACGCUGAAGGAGGAGCUUGCUCUUCUGGAUGAGUUGCGAACGGGUGAGUAACGCGUAGGUAACCUGCCUGGUAGCGGGGGAUAACUAUUGGAAACGAUAGCUAAUACCGCAUGACAACAGUUAUUGCAUGAUAACUGUUUAAAAGGGGCAACUGCUCCACUACCAGAUGGACCUGCGUUGUAUUAGCUAGUUGGUGAGGUAACGGCUCACCAAGGCGACGAUACAUAGCCGACCUGUGAGGGUGAUCGGCCACACUGGGACUGAGACACGGCCCAGACUCCUACGGGAGGCAGCAGUAGGGAAUCUUCGGCAGUGGACGGAAGUCUGACCGAGCAACGCCGCGUGAGUGAAGAAGGUUUUCGGAUCGUAAAGCUCUGUUGUGAGAGAAGAACGAGUGUGAGAGUGGAAAGUUCGCGCUGUGCCGGUAUCUUACCAGAAAGGGCCGGCUAACUACGU
rnacentral:rRNA from 1 species